UACGAAGGGGGCUAGCGUUGCUCGGAAUUACUGGGCGUAAAGCGCACGUAGGCGGAUUGUUAAGUCGGGGGUGAAAUCCUGGAGCUCAACUCCAGAACUGCCUUCGAAACUGGCGAUCUUGAGUUCGGGAGAGGUGAGUGGAACUGCGAGUGUAGAGGUGAAAUUCGUAGGUAUUCGCAAGAACACCAGUGGCGAAGGCGGCUCACUGGCCCGAUACUGACGCUGAGGUGCGAAAGCGUGGGGAGCAAACAGG
rnacentral:rRNA from 1 species